CCUACGGGGGGCAGCAGUGAGGAAUAUUGGUCAAUGGACGAGAGUCUGAACCAGCCAAGUAGCGUGAAGGAUGACUGCCCUAUGGGUUGUAAACUUCUUUUAUAAAGGAAUAAAACGAGGCACGUGUGCCUUUUUGUAUGUACUUUAUGAAUAAGGAUCGGCUAACUCCGUGCCAGCAGCCGCGGUAAUACGGAGGAUCCGAGCGUUAUCCGGAUUUAUUGGGUUUAAAGGGAGCGUAGAUGGGUUGUUAAGUCAGUUGUGAAAGUUUGCGGCUCAACCGUAAAAUUGCAGUUGAUACUGGCAGUCUUGAGUACAGUUGAGGUAGGCGGAAUUCGUGGUGUAGCGGUGAAAUGCUUAGAUAUCACGAAGAACCCCGAUUGCGAAGGCAGCUUACUAAACUGUGACUGACAUUGAUGCUCGAAAGUGUGGGUAUCAAACAGGAUUAGAUACCCGAGUAGUC
rnacentral:rRNA from 1 species